AGAGUUUGAUCAUGGCUCAGGACGAACGCUGGCGGCGUGUUUAACACAUGCAAGUCGAACGGGAGUAUCGAAGAAGCUUGCUUUUAAGAUACUUUAGUGGCGGACGGGUGAGUAACGCGUGAGGAGCUGUCCUAUGCAGGGGGACAACAGUUGGAAACGGCUGCUAAUACCCCAUAAGCCGAGAGGUAAAAGGAUUAAUCCGGCAAAGGAGGCACUCGCGUCCUAUCAGCUAGUAGGUUGGGUAACGGCCGACCUAGGCGAAGACGGGUAGCCGGCCUGAGAGGGCGAACGGCCACACUGGAACUGAGAUACGGUCCAGACUCCUACGGGAGGCAGCAGUGGGGAAUAUUGGGCAAUGGGGGCAACCCUGACCCAGCGACGCCGCGUGGGUGAAGAAAUCCUUCGGGAUGUAAAGCCCUGUUGUAUGGGAAGAGUAGAAGACGGUACCAUACGAGGAAGCCCCGGCAAACUACGUGCCAGCAGCCGCG
rnacentral:rRNA from 1 species